GAUUAAGUUAUUAAGGGCGCACGGUGGAUGCCUUGGCACUAGAAGCCGAUGAAGGACGUUACUAACGACGAUAUGCUUUGGGGAGCUGUAAGUAAGCUUUGAUCCAGAGAUUUCCGAAUGGGGAAACCCAGCAUGAGUUAUGUCAUGUUAUCGAUAUGUGAAUACAUAGCAUAUCAGAAGGCACACCCGGAGAACUGAAACAUCUUAGUACCCGGAGGAAGAGAAAGAAAAUUCGAUUCCCUUAGUAGCGGCGAGCGAAACGGGAAGAGCCCAAACCAACAAGCUUGCUUGUUGGGGUUGUAGGACACUCUAUACGGAGUUACAAAGGACGACAUUAGACGAAUCAUCUGGAAAGAUGAAUCAAAGAAGGUAAUAAUCCUGUAGUCGAAAAUGUUGUCUCUCUUGAGUGGAUCCUGAGUACGACGGAGCACGUGAAAUUCCGUCGGAAUCUGGGAGGACCAUCUCCUAAGGCUAAAUACUCUCUAGUGACCGAUAGUGAACCAGUACCGUGAGGGAAAGGUGAAAAGCACCCCGGAAGGGGAGUGAAAUAGAACCUGAAACCGUGUGCUUACAAGUAGUCAGAGCCCGUUAAUGGGUGAUGGCGUGCCUUUUGUAGAAUGAACCGGCGAGUUACGAUUUGAUGCAAGGUUAAGCAGUAAAUGUGGAGCCGUAGCGAAAGCGAGUCUGAAUAGGGCGUUUAGUAUUUGGUCGUAGACCCGAAACCAGGUGAUCUACCCUUGGUCAGGUUGAAGUUCAGGUAACACUGAAUGGAGGACCGAACCGACUUACGUUGAAAAGUGAGCGGAUGAACUGAGGGUAGCGGAGAAAUUCCAAUCGAACCUGGAGAUAGCUGGUUCUCUCCGAAAUAGCUUUAGGGCUAGCCUCAAGUGAUGAUUAUUGGAGGUAGAGCACUGUUUGGACGAGGGGCCCCUCUCGGGUUACCGAAUUCAGACAAACUCCGAAUGCCAAUUAAUUUAACUUGGGAGUCAGAACAUGGGUGAUAAGGUCCGUGUUCGAAAGGGAAACAGCCCAGACCACCAGCUAAGGUCCCAAAAUAUAUGUUAAGUGGAAAAGGAUGUGGCGUUGCCCAGACAACUAGGAUGUUGGCUUAGAAGCAGCCAUCAUUUAAAGAGUGCGUAAUAGCUCACUAGUCGAGUGACACUGCGCCGAAAAUGUACCGGGGCUAAACAUAUUACCGAAGCUGUGGAUUGUCCUUUGGACAAUGGUAGGAGAGCGUUCUAAGGGCGUUGAAGCAUGAUCGUAAGGACAUGUGGAGCGCUUAGAAGUGAGAAUGCCGGUGUGAGUAGCGAAAGACGGGUGAGAAUCCCGUCCACCGAUUGACUAAGGUUUCCAGAGGAAGGCUCGUCCGCUCUGGGUUAGUCGGGUCCUAAGCUGAGGCCGACAGGCGUAGGCGAUGGAUAACAGGUUGAUAUUCCUGUACCACCUAUAAUCGUUUUAAUCGAUGGGGGGACGCAGUAGGAUAGGCGAAGCGUGCGAUUGGAUUGCACGUCUAAGCAGUAAGGCUGAGUAUUAGGCAAAUCCGGUACUCGUUAAGGCUGAGCUGUGAUGGGGAGAAGACAUUGAGUCUUCGAGUCGUUGAUUUCACACUGCCGAGAAAAGCCUCUAGAUAGAAAAUAGGUGCCCGUACCGCAAACCGACACAGGUAGUCAAGAUGAGAAUUCUAAGGUGAGCGAGCGAACUCUCGUUAAGGAACUCGGCAAAAUGACCCCGUAACUUCGGGAGAAGGGGUGCUCUUUAGGGUUAACGCCCAGAAGAGCCGCAGUGAAUAGGCCCAAGCGACUGUUUAUCAAAAACACAGGUCUCUGCUAAACCGUAAGGUGAUGUAUAGGGGCUGACGCCUGCCCGGUGCUGGAAGGUUAAGAGGAGUGGUUAGCUUCUGCGAAGCUACGAAUCGAAGCCCCAGUAAACGGCGGCCGUAACUAUAACGGUCCUAAGGUAGCGAAAUUCCUUGUCGGAUAAGUUCCGACCCGCACGAAAGGCGUAACGAUUUGGGCACUGUCUCAACGAGAGACUCGGUGAAAUCAUAGUACCUGUGAAGAUGCAGGUUACCCGCGACAGGACGGAAAGACCCCGUGGAGCUUUACUGUAGCCUGAUAUUGAAAUUCGGCACAGCUUGUACAGGAUAGGUAGGAGCCUUUGAAACGUGAGCGCUAGCUUACGUGGAGGCGCUGGUGGGAUACUACCCUAGCUGUGUUGGCUUUCUAACCCGCACCACUUAUCGUGGUGGGAGACAGUGUCAGGCGGGCAGUUUGACUGGGGCGGUCGCCUCCUAAAAGGUAACGGAGGCGCUCAAAGGUUCCCUCAGAAUGGUUGGAAAUCAUUCAUAGAGUGUAAAGGCAUAAGGGAGCUUGACUGCGAGACCUACAAGUCGAGCAGGGUCGAAAGACGGACUUAGUGAUCCGGUGGUUCCGCAUGGAAGGGCCAUCGCUCAACGGAUAAAAGCUACCCCGGGGAUAACAGGCUUAUCUCCCCCAAGAGUUCACAUCGACGGGGAGGUUUGGCACCUCGAUGUCGGCUCAUCGCAUCCUGGGGCUGUAGUCGGUCCCAAGGGUUGGGCUGUUCGCCCAUUAAAGCGGUACGCGAGCUGGGUUCAGAACGUCGUGAGACAGUUCGGUCCCUAUCCGUCGUGGGCGUAGGAAAUUUGAGAGGAGCUGUCCUUAGUACGAGAGGACCGGGAUGGACAUACCUCUGGUGUACCAGUUGUCGUGCCAACGGCAUAGCUGGGUAGCUAUGUGUGGACGGGAUAAGUGCUGAAAGCAUCUAAGCAUGAAGCCCCCCUCAAGAUGAGAUUUCCCAACUUCGGUUAUAAGAUCCCUCAAAGAUGAUGAGGUUAAUAGGUUCGAGGUGGAAGCAUGGUGACAUGUGGAGCUGACGAAUACUAAUCGAUCGAAGACUUAAUCAA
rnacentral:rRNA from 1 species